CUACGUGCCAGCAGCCGCGGUAAUACGGAGGAUGCGAGCGUUAUCCGGAUUUAUUGGGUUUAAAGGGUGCGUAGGCGGCCUGUUAAGUCAGCGGUGAAAUCUAGGAGCUUAACUCCUAAAUUGCCAUUGAUACUGGCGGGCUUGAGUGUAGAUGAGGUAGGCGGAAUGCGUGGUGUAGCGGUGGAAUGCAUAGAUAUCACGCAGAACUCCGAUUGCGAAGGCAGCUUACUAAGGUACAACUGACGCUGAAGCACGAAAGCGUGGGUAUCAAACAGGAUUAGAUACCCUGGUAGUCCACGCAGUAAACGAUGAUAACUGGGCGUAUGCGAUAUACAGUAUGCUCCUAAGCGAAAGCGUUAAGCUAUCCACCUGGGGAGUACGCCGGCAACGGUGAAACUCAAAGGAAUUGACGGGGGCCCGCACAAGCGGAGGAACAUGUGGUUUAAUUCGAUGAUACGCGAGGAACCUUACCCGGGAUUGAA
rnacentral:rRNA from 1 species